UACGUAGGUGGCGAGCGUUGUCCGGAUUUACUGGGCGUAAAGGGAGCGUAGGCGGACUUUUAAGUGAGAUGUGAAAUACUCGGGCACAACUUGAGUGCUGCAUUUCAAACUGGAAGUCUAGAGUGCAGGAGAGGAGAAUGGAAUUCCUAGUGUAGCGGUGAAAUGCGUAGAGAUUAGGAAGAACACCAGUGGCGAAGGCGAUUCUCUGGACUGUAACUGACGCUGAGGCUCGAAAGCGUGGGGAGCAAACAGG
rnacentral:rRNA from 1 species